rnacentral:rRNA from 1 species
AAAUUGAAGAGUUUGAUCAUGGCUCAGAUUGAACGCUGGCGGCAGGCCUAACACAUGCAAGUCGAGCGGUAGCACAGAGAGCUUGCUCUCGGGUGACGAGCGGCGGACGGGUGAGUAAUGUCUGGGAAACUGCCUGAUGGAGGGGGAUAACUACUGGAAACGGUAGCUAAUA